rnacentral:rRNA from 1 species
AUUGAACGCUGGCGGCAUGCUUUACACAUGCAAGUCGAACGGUAGAGGGGGCAACCCCUUGAGAGUGGCGAACGGGUGAGUAAUGCAUCGGAACGUGCCCAGUCGUGGGGGAUAACGCAGCGAAAGCUGUGCUAAUACCGCAUACGAUCUCUGGAUGAAAGCGGGGGACCGAAAGGCCUCGCGCGAUUGGAGCGGCCGAUGUCAGAUUAGGUAGUUGGUGGGGUAAAGGCUCACCAAGCCAACGAUCUGUAGCUGGUCUGAGAGGGCGACCAGCCACAAUGGGAAUGAGACACGGCCCAGACUCCUACGGGAGGCAGCAGUGUGGAAUUUUGGACAAUGGGCGCAAGCCUGAUCCAGCAAUGCCGCGUGCAGGAAGAAGGCCUUCGGGCUGUAAACUGCUUUUGUACGGAACGAAAAGGUCUGGGUUAAUACCCUGGGCACAUGACGGUACCGUAAGAAUAAGCACCGGCUAACUACGUGCCAGCCGCCGCAGUAA